ACGCUGAUGACACUCAGAUAUACCUCUCCUCCCCAGACCUCUCCCCUGCCGUCCUGCAACAUGUCACUGCUUGCCUUUCUUCCAUCUCUGACUGGAUGUCCUUACGCUUUCUGAAACUCAAUCUCUCUAAAACUGAACUUCUUGUAUUUCCUCCUCCUUAUACUGAUCCUCCUCUCUCGCUCUCCUUUCAAGUCAGUGAUAUCCAC